rnacentral:lncRNA from 1 species
AGAUAAUUUAUCUUUCUUGGUAGGGAAACCACUUCAUUUGUAUGUCUUGUGCUCAAGAUCCUAACUUGAAUGAAUCACCUUGGAGACAAAGCGGAAAACUCCACACAGUCCAGGAAAUAUCAUUUUUUCCUAAUACCAAAAUAAACGUUAUGAAAGAAGGAAAAC